GGUUUUUGUACAAAAUACUAGUGAGAGGAGAAACCAAGGAAGGUGCCAGUGAACUUCUUCAGCAGAUGAGGUAGAGGAAAACCUCUGGUGUAUAGCAAGAUCAUCAAUGAGGAGAUAUGAACUGGAGGAGCAAAAUGGGUUCUGAGGUGGUGAGGAAGGCUGGUGAGUUGACCAGGGAAAGGUUGACCAGCAUUCAAGUUGCAUCAGCAUUGCUAAGUGCAGUUACAGAGCAACUGUGGUUAGAAAAAGGAGUUUCUUGCUGGGAGCACACAGGUGCCGAGCUGAAGAGUAGUGCCAGGCCAGAGAGAACUACAUUAUUACUUCUGCUGGAG
ensembl:lncRNA